UGGAGAGUGGUUUGAAUAUGGCCCAAUGGCAUCAGCUGGGGGGGCUGCCGCAAGGCGUAACUUUUGCAUGGCCCUACCUACUAUCUAGCGAAACCACUGCCAAGGGAACGGGCUUGGAAAAAUUAGCAGGGAAAGAAGACCCUUUUGAGCUUGACUCUAGUCUGGCACUGCAAGGAGACAUGAGAGGUGUAGCAUAAGUGGGAAAUGGCAACAUCGUCGGUGAAAUACCACUACUUUCAUCGUUUCUUUACUUACGCGGUUAGGCAGAAGGCGUGCGCCGUUCGCUCACUAGGCAGCGGCUGUCACGGUAUUCUUGAAUCCUGCCCAUCGUAUCGAUCGAACUCAUAAUUUCGAUAUAAACUUGGCAUGAAUGCAUGUCGAUUUGUGGAGAUUUUGAAGGUCAUUCAACAAAGUUUUCGAUAACCUUACUUUUGAGUGGAAAAAUUUCUGAUCAUGCAAUGUUUCGCUCAAAUUUGGUAGUGGGCAUUUUUUUCUCUAUCAACUCUCUAACGGUGUCGAUGCGCCAAUACCUUCGCUUUCGAACAGUGUUGUCAGUUUGCAAAUCGGUUCAUGUUUCGAGUUUUUACAACAUAUUUUCGAUUGUCAUGCCAAUCGGGUAGGGAACCUAUCGAGCACUCUGGCGUCAUUCGUGUUGACAUUUCGAGCAAAUGUCGAGUGAUGACAUUUGCAUUAUUUCGGACCGGCUACAAUCUGCUGA
rnacentral:ncRNA from 1 species